rnacentral:rRNA from 1 species
GGUUUAAUUCGAUGCAACGCGAAGAACCUUACCUGGUCUUGACAUCCACGGAAGUUUUCAGAGAUGAGAAUGUGCCUUCGGGAACCGUGAGACAGGUGCUGCAUGGCUGUCGUCAGCUCGUGUUGUGAAAUGUUGGGUUAAGUCCCGCAACGAGCGCAACCCUUAUCCUUUGUUGCCAGCGGUCCGGCCGGGAACUCAAAGGAGACUGCCAGUGAUAAACUGGAGGAAGGUGGGGAUGACGUCAAGUCAUCAUGGCCCUUACGACCAGGGCUACACACGUGCUACAAUGGCGCAUACAAAGAGAAGCGACCUCGCGAGAGCAAGCGGACCUCAUAAAGUGCGUCGUAGUCCGGAUUGGAGUCUGCAACUCGACUCCAUGAAGUCGGAAUCGCUAGUAAUCGUGGAUCAGAAUGCCACGGUGAAUACGUUCCCGGGCCUUGUACACACCGCCCGUCACACCAUGGGAGUGGGUUGCAAAAGAAGUAGGUAGCUUAACCUUCGGGAGGGCGCUUACCACUUUGUGAUUCAUGACUGGGGUGAAGUCGUAACAAGGUAACCGUAGGGGAACCUGCGGUUG